rnacentral:rRNA from 1 species
UACGUAGGGCGCAAGCGUUGUCCGGAAUUACUGGGCGUAAAGAGCUCGUAGGCGGUCUGUCGCGUCGGCUGUGAAAUCCCGAGGCUCAACCUCGGGUCUGCAGUCGAUACGGGCAAACUGGAGUGUUGCAGGGGAGACUGGAAUUCCUGGUGUAGCGGUGAAAUGCGCAGAUAUCAGGAGGAACACCGGUGGCGAAGGCGGGUCUCUGGGCAACAACUGACGCUGAGGAGCGAAAGCGUGGGGAGCGAACAGG